UGGGCUCCAGAGAAAGCUUCAGACCGAGUCCUUGCCCUCCAGCCUGUCGCAGGCUGCACAGUGGGGCGCCUCCUCCUCUCGCUUUUGGACUCCAGCCAGGCAGAUUGGGGCUUCAGCCUUGUUCUCCACUACAGCAGAGAACAGCCUGAGGGCUACUGUUGGGCUCCUGGAGUCUCCCACCUGACUGCCAGAGUCCCCACUGCCUCUCCAUGAUCUCACAAGGCAGCAGUGUAAAAGGCUGCCAUGCUUUAAUACCCCCCAGCCUGGAGAGGGGGUCCCAUAUCCCUGACCACCCCUCUUUAGUAUGCCUACUUAGCAAAAUGUGGCUUCUUUCUCACUUUCUCUAUUGUAAUUUGACUCCCAGUACAGAGCAGGAGUUAGGACCCUCCAGGACUUGUGGGAGUCCUUUUGAAAGAAUGGCCCCCACGAACUCAAUUACACAGUGACUGGAGACACCUGUGGUCCUCAGGCAGCGGGCCUCUCCUUUUCUCUGCCUUUGCUCUCCGCGCCUUAGAAGUACCCUAUGGACCUCUGUGUUUGGCAUCGCAGAUCUCCCCAGAACCCUUUCAGUCAGACAGGGAUGGCACAGAAGUUGGAGCAAGGAAUGAGAAUCAUCCUCUGUGGGCAAGGUUGGCUUGGGAAUCACUCAUCCCAUGCCGCUUGACACUCUCGGGGACCAAAUGCACGAAGCAUGACAGACCUAGCUAGAUCCUCGUGGACAGGCUGGGCAGGCAUUUCGUGGUUGUGACCUCAACCUUUGUUCUUUCUAGAUGACAGGACUAACCACUGACCUUCAAAAGACUGCUUCUAGAAGGUUCCUAUUUUCCUGUCCUUCCAUCCAAAGAACCCACAAGCCAUUUUUCUCCCCCAAAUCAUUUUCUAAGGAGUCCAAAACACAACACCGCCUCAAGAGCUAUUCCACAUUCUCUGUCAGCCCGGAACUGCCUUAGACCUUUGCAUGUUCCCUGACAGCAGCCUGCCUACCUGAGUUGCAAGCCAGCCAGCAUGAACAGAUCCAGUUGGAUUAGUUCAGUCAAUAAGGGUGUUGUCAUACUCCUCCCAAUGUCCACAGAGUCCACAAUGAUUAAAUAAAGGCAAGCCAGGAAGCACACCAAGGACAGAGGUGGACACGUGCCAGCCAACACAGGAAUACAGGUUCUUCUUGUGCAUCCUGGGAUGAUUUGGAAGCAACUACGCAGCCCACAUUGACCUCAAGCUUUUUCUCCUCUUCCUCUGCCUCACAAAUGCUGGGAUUAUAGGUGUGUGCUCCCAUGCUCAGCUAAAGCAAUUAAUUAAAAGCCAAUGUUGUUAACAAUGUUAAAUGACUGUAAAUCAUUCUAGAUGUUUGACUCAUUUUCUGGAACUAUCUGGUGGUUUAGAAUUAACUGCUUGGGGUUGGCAUCAGUUUCUGAAACUCGUUUUAAGCAGAGUUAUAGACUUCACCUUAGAAAAGAAUCAGAUGAGGAAAGGACCAGCUAUAUUUUCUUAAAAUGAAGACAUUAAAGGAGCAAAACUUGAUACCCAUAUGAAUGGAUUCUAAUGUUUAAAGACAAUUUUAAAAAAACAAAACAAAACAAAACCCUGUGCAUCCAACAUGAGUCUGAAUAUGAACAGGCAUAAUCACCAGCUGUAAUCAGGACAGACAGGUAUGAGAAGACAUACAGACAGAGCCAUGGGAUAGCACACAGCCCAGGGGUAAGCACACAUAAAUCUAGUCACUUAUGUGUGACAAAAGAGUAAAGGUGAUCCCAUGGGAAACACACUGUUAUCAACAAUUAGACUAGACACAAUUUUCAAAGGAGA
rnacentral:lncRNA from 1 species